AUUGAACGCUGGCGGCAUGCUUUACACAUGCAAGUCGAACGGUAACAGGCCUUCGGGUGCUGACGAGUGGCGAACGGGUGAGUAAUGCAUCGGAACGUGCCCAGAGGUGGGGGAUAACGCAGCGAAAGCUGUGCUAAUACCGCAUGUGAUCUGAGGAUGAAAGCGGGGGACCAGGCAGCAAUGUUUGGCCUCGCGCCUUUGGAGCGGCCGAUGUCAGAUUAGGUAGUUGGUGGGGUAAAGGCCUACCAAGCCGACGAUCUGUAGCUGGUCUGAGAGGACGACCAGCCACACUGGGACUGAGUCACGGCCCAGACUCCUACGGGAGGCAGCAGUGGGGAAUUUUGGACAAUGGGCGCAAGCCUGAUCCAGCAAUGCCGCGUGCGGGAAGAAGGCCUUCGGGUUGUAAACCGCUUUUGUACGGAACGAAAAGGCUCUGGCUAAUACCUGGGGCUGAUGACGGUACCGUAAGAAUAAGCACCGGCUAACUACGUG
rnacentral:rRNA from 1 species